AUACGUAGGUGACAAGCGUUAUCCGGAUUUACUGGGCGUAAAGGGCGUGUAGGCGGUCUUGCAAGUCAGAAGUGAAAUUCCUGAGCUCAACUCGGGCGCUGCUUCUGAAACUGCAGGACUUGAGUGCUGGAGGGGAUAGCGGAAUUCCUAGUGGAGCGGUAAAAUGCGCAGAUAUUAGGAAGAACACCGGUGGCGAAGGCGGCUAUCUGGACAGUAACUGACGCUGAGGCGCGAAAGCGUGGGGAGCAAACAGGAUUAGAUACCCUGGUAGUCCGCGCCGUAAACGAUGAAUACUAGGUGUAGGGGGUAUCGACCCCUUCUGUGCCGCAGUUAACACAAUAAGCAUUCCGCCUGGGGAGUACGGCCGCAAGGUUGAAACUCAAAUGAAUUGACGGGG
rnacentral:rRNA from 1 species